rnacentral:rRNA from 1 species
UACAGAGGGUGCAAGCGUUAAUCGGAUUUACUGGGCGUAAAGCGUGUGUAGGCGGUUUGUUAAGUCGGGUGUGAAAUCCCUGGGCUCAACCUGGGAAUUGCAUUCGAUACUGGCAAGCUAGAGUACGGUAGAGGGCGGCGGAAUUCCGGGUGUAGCGGUGAAAUGCGUAGAUAUCGGGAGGAACACCUGUGGCGAAGGCGGCCCCCUGGUUGGAUACUGACGCUGAGACGCGAAAGCGUGGGGAGCAAACAGG